rnacentral:lncRNA from 1 species
AUCAAGGCUUCUAGCACACCUUAUCUAAGACUGCUGAUCCUUUCACUUCAUAAACCAUAUUGAUUUUGAGGUAAGUUGAAGCUUUCAUUUGCUCAUUAUAAGAACCUAAUUAUGUGUGUUUUAAUGUGAAUUUUGCUAUGUGUUCUCCAUGAUGUUUGAAUGAUUGAUGAGUCAUAGUGAUAUGAAAGAAUAUGUUUUGAAAAUGGGAGUAUGGUACUUGAUUGAUGGUCGAGUAGGCAAGGGACGCGGGAGGAACCGGCGGACCCAACACAUGGUGGCAAAUACCUGAGGUCGAAAGACCAGUAUGGAAAACCCACAAUUAAAGAAAUGAAAUACGGCUAAUACCUGAGGUCGAAAGGCCGGUAUGGAAACCCCCGAAUUAUCUAUUGGCUAAAUAG